AUUCCAGCUCCAAUAGCGUAUAUUAAAGUUGUUGCAGUUAAAAAGCUCGUAGUUGAAUUUCGAGACCGGCUUACUGGUCGUGCUAUUGUACGUACUGGUAUAAUCGGUUUCUCCUUUCUGACGAACUAUAAUGCCAUUAGUUUGGUGUUAUAGGGAAUCAGGACUGUUACUUUGAAAAAAUUAGAGUGUUUAAAGCAGGCUCACGCUUGAAUA
rnacentral:rRNA from 1 species